GUUCUUGAACUGCUGUCUGUGGGAAGCCCACAUAGGGUCAGUUUAGGACAGACUGCAUGCUGUGGGAAGGACCACACUCGAGCAGAGGAAGAGAAUGACAGUGAAAGAGUGCCAACAAGGAAGCAUUAUGAACAGACAAUAACCUCCAUUCCGCUGUGCAGCUUGGUGGAAGUAGCUGUAGUAGAGCUUGGAUGGGGGUAAAAGUAUGUUUAGUUUCCUUUUUUUUCUGUUAGACAACAAGCAGUAAAUUACAUUAAUCUUCCUUUUUAUGAGUCCCUUUUGCCUGUGACAGUAGUUGGUGAGUGAUCUCCCUGUCCUUUUCUCAGCCUAUGAGUUUUUUUCAUCUUUUUUUUUUUUUUUUUUUCUUUCUCAUUUACUCUUUUGAGGAAGGAGAGUGAGAGAGUGGAGUCAUUGGAAGAGAGUGGCCCAUGUGUGAAACCAUCACAAAUGCUGUGACAGGGAGAGCAGAGCUUCUACACAAGGAGCAGACAGAUGAAGUUCUGGCAGUCAUCUUCAAUUCUGAAAGGGACAGAUGCUGACAACCAAGGCAGAUGUCAACACUUCUUUGACAUGGGGUCCAAGAUUAGCAAGUACCAGAGAAGAAGCACACUGAAGGACAGCAGAGCUUUAAUUCCAGUGAGGAAGCAUCAAAAUUAGUUUCCACUGAACUACAGAAGAGGUCAGUGUGCUUCAUGCAUGAAACGUACAUGUUUAUGAGUUUUCUUCUCUUUUCCAGAGAAUGUUGCUAAGAUCUGUUAUGUCUAUUUCAUUAAAGCUGUUCUU
rnacentral:lncRNA from 1 species